UACGUAGGGUGCAAGCGUUAAUCGGAAUUACUGGGCGUAAAGCGUGCGCAGGCGGCUUUAUAAGUCUGUCGUGAAAGCCCCGGGCUCAACCUGGGAAUUGCGAUGGAGACUGCAAGGCUUGAAUCUGGCAGAGGGGGGUAGAAUUCCACGUGUAGCAGUGAAAUGCGUAGAGAUGUGGAGGAACACCGAUGGCGAAGGCAGCCCCCUGGGUCAAGAUUGACGCUCAUGCACGAAAGCGUGGGGAGCAAACAGG
rnacentral:rRNA from 1 species